rnacentral:rRNA from 1 species
AGCAGCCGCGGUAAUUCCAGCUCCAAUAGCGUAUAUUAAAGUUGUUGCAGUUAAAAAGCUCGUAGUUGAAUUUCGGGGUUAGUAGGCUGGUCAUGCCACAGGUAUGCACUGGUCUUACUGAUUCCUCCUUCCUGAUGAACCGUAAUGCCAUUAAUUUGGUGUUGCGGGGAGUCUGGACUGUUACUUUGAAAAAAUUAGAGUGUUUAAAGCAGGCUAACGCUUGAAUACAUUAGCAUGGAAUAACGAAAUAGGACGUUCGAUCUUAUUUUGUUGGUUUCUAGGAUUGACGUAAUGAUUAAUAGGGAUAGUUGGGG